rnacentral:rRNA from 1 species
AACGAACGCUGGCGGCAUGCCUAACACAUGCAAGUCGAACGAGACCUUCGGGUCUAGUGGCGCACGGGUGCGUAACGCGUGGGAACCUGCCCUUAGGUUCGGAAUAACUCCCCGAAAGGGGUGCUAAUACCGGAUAAUGUCUUCGGACCAAAGAUUUAUCGCCUUUGGAUGGGCCCGCGUUGGAUUAGCUAGUUGGUAGGGUAAAAGCCUACCAAGGCGACGAUCCAUAGCUGGUCGGAGAGGAUGAUCAGCCACACUGGGACUGAGACACGGCCCAGACUCGUACGGGAGGAGGAAGUGGGGAAUAUGGAAAAGUGGGGGAAGGCCUGACCAACCACGGCCGGGGGAGUGAUGAAGUCGUGGGGGUUGAAAAGCUUUUUUACCGGGGAAGGUAAUGACGGUACGGGGAGAAAAAGCCCCGGCUAACUCCGUG